ACGGUCCUAGAGGCCGCUGGACGCAAGUCCUUGCCUCCGAAAGGAGGCCU
rnacentral:sRNA from 1 species